GAUGAACGCUAGCGGCAGGCUUAACACAUGCAAGUCGAGGGGUAUGCCGAUUUAUCGGCAGAGACCGGCGCACGGGUGCGUAACGCGUAUGCAAUCUGCCUUUCACAGAGGGAUAGCCCAGAGAAAUUUGGAUUAAUACCUCAUAGUAUAGUAAGUUGGCAUCAACCUGCUAUUAAAGUCACAACGGUGAAAGAUGAGCAUGCGUCCCAUUAGCUAGUUGGUAAGGUAACGGCUUACCAAGGCUACGAUGGGUAGGGGUCCUGAGAGGGAGAUCCCCCACACUGGUACUGAGACACGGACCAGACUCCUACGGGAGGCAGCAGUGAGGAAUAUUGGUCAAUGGGCGCAAGCCUGAACCAGCCAUGCCGCGUGCAGGAUGACGGUCCUAUGGAUUGUAAACUGCUUUUGUACGAGAAGAAACACUCCUACGUGUAGGGGCUUGACGGUAUCGUAAGAAUAAGGAUCGGCUAACUACGUGCCAGCCGCCGCGGUAACAC
rnacentral:rRNA from 1 species